AGGAAAAACCCUAGGACACUGAUACCAUUCCAUAUCAUAGAUGAAGAAACUGAAGUUAAGUUUGUCACCGAUCCAAGUCACAUGACCAGAAAUGCAAAGCCUGAUCUCAUUUACAUUCUCCUGAUUGUGAAUUCUACGUGCUUUCUACCACUCAGGAAGGGAACGAUGUUGUACAAGUAACUGAGGCCUCUACAGAUCAUGGUAACCUUCAAGAAAAAAAUUUUAAUAUUAUAAUAAAAUGAUCAUACUC